CCAGACCACAGGGAAUCACGAGUUUUCCGGAGUCUGAGCUGGCCGAGACCUUUCUCGCGCUGGUCUGCUGGGUGCGCGGUCGGGCGGGACUUUUCUCACGCUGCUCGGCGGGCUCUCUGCUAUGGCGCGGAAGUGGAAUCUCCCUUUUCUUCUCCUGCCGCUCGUUCUGGGUAUACCCCUGGUGCGGGGCUCCAACCCUCUACCCCUGGUCGUCAACACUUGGCCUUUUAAGAAUGCCACCGAAGCAGCGUGGUGGACAUUAGUGUCUGGAGGUUCUGCCCUGGAUGCGGUGGAGAAGGGCUGUGCUAUGUGUGAAAAGGAGCAAUGUGGUGGUACUGUAGGCUUUGGAGGAAGUCCUGAUGAAGUUGGGGAAACCACCCUGGAUGCCAUGAUCAUGGAUGGCACUGCUAUGGAUGUGGGAGCAGUGGGAGGCCUUAGAAGAAUUAAAAAUGCUAUUGGAGUGGCUCGGAAAGUCUUGGAGCAUACCACGCACACGCUUUUAGUGGGGGACUCAGCCACCAAGUUUGCUGUAAGUAUGGGGUUUACCAGUGAGGACUUAUCUACCAAUACCUCAAGAGCUCUUCAUUCAGAUUGGCUUUCUCGAAACUGCCAGCCAAAUUAUUGGAGAAACGUUAUACCAGAUCCUUCAAAAUACUGUGGACCCUACAAACCACCUGAUUUCUUAGAGCAGAAUAACCGUGCCCACAAAGAAGUGGAUAUCCACAGUCAUGAUACUAUUGGCAUGGUUGUAAUCCAUAAGACGGGACAUACUGCUGCUGGCACAUCUACAAAUGGUUUAAAAUUCAAAAUACCUGGUCGUGUAGGAGACUCACCAAUCCCUGGAGCUGGAGCCUAUGCUGAUGACAUGGCUGGAGCAGCUGCGGCCACUGGAGAUGGUGACACACUCCUGAGAUUUCUGCCAAGCUACCAAGCUGUAGAAUAUAUGAGAGGAGGAGAUGAUCCAGCCAGAGCUUGCCAAAAAGUGAUUUCAAGAAUUCAGAAAUAUUAUCCAAAAUUCUUUGGAGCUGUUAUAUGUGCCAAUGUGACAGGAAGUUAUGGAACACUGCUUCAAUGGUCCAGGAGAGUUGAAAGACCUUUCAUGGGGGACAAUUUUCACACAUCUCUCUUACCUGGAGGUUUUUCAUAAGCCAGCUCAGGACCUCUCUGCUUGGUAUGCAAUACUGAAAUAACUGGAAAAGAUGUCAAUUGAUGAAGAAGGGUGUUUGACUGGACUUCGUUCUGUGUUUGAGAGUUUUUCUGGAAGGUGUUCUGCGUAGCUUGAACACAGUCUGGGUAGUUCAAAAACUAUUUUGAGCAUGCUGGAGAGACUGCAAACCCGGAAGAAGCUCCUUGGCAAACGAAGCCGGAAGUCUCAACAGUCCAAGACUGGUGCUCCAGGCCAGGAAGAUUCCCGGAAAGCUGCUGGCCUCCAUCCACAUGAUAAAGAAAAGAAGGCGAGGCUCUCCAUCAGUACAGGACAGCAACUGAGUAGACUGACUUCUUAGGAAGAAGCAGCAGUGGCCAGGCAAGCCCCACUGCUUUUCCUUGGACUUUUAUAUCUAGGCUUCCAACAGAAAAUGCUGCCCGCUCUGGGGAAGGUUUUCCACAUUGGUUAACACUUCCUCCCAUUCCCGCACAAAACUUUCCAGAUCCCUUCAGGGCUAGCUAACCAUCACAACAUCCUCUUAUCCUCUUUACAUAUUGUCUAGAUCUCCCAGAGCGAUACUUUACAUCAGCUUAUAUUCAAGUCAGAACUCAACUGUUAGUUUUUGUUCCCUAACAAUAAAAAAGCCUUCCUUCCCUCCCUCCUUCCUGGGCACCUGGAAUUUUGUCCAAGGCCUCGUGCUUUUAAGGAGACUUUGUGCUACAGAGGUGCAUCCCCAGCCCCCAUAGCAUCUGACUCAAAUGGAUGCGAGUAUAAAUAGCCCGUGGAAGUCAACACAACACAGUGAAGAAGAGCAUUUGGGCCAGGAGUCUCCCAGCUUCUACAUAAUUUCACAUAAUUUCAAGGACUGUAAGAACAAUAUCCUUCUGCAGCCAGAUGAAUCCUAGAUAUUCAUAAGUUAUUAGCUUAAUUACACUGAGCAGUGUAUGCAGACUAGAUAGGUUCUGCUAAAAUCUUUUCUUUCUCUUGUAAGUGGUUUAUUGCAGUCCCCCAAAGACUCUCAUUCAGGUAUACAUGCAGUUAUAAGUUCAUAUUUUAUUUGCAUAUUAACCCAAUGAAAAUGUAAGUAAGGACCUCACUUAGAAUGCAACAAAAAUUCAUGCUGCAGAAUGCAAUCUUGAAAAUUAUUCACCUAGACAAUACAUGGAGCAUGAAAGUCUAAAAACAAAAUAAACUUUAACUCAGUGGUAUAAUUCAAGUUUAUUAAAUUGUCCUCUAUGAGGGUAAAAGUUUAUACUGAUUUUGAUAUUUCUACACAUAUACACUCAAUUCAACAAUCAGUUCCACUAAAGGCCGAUAACCAUAUUUCUGAAAGUUAACAAAAAAAUUUAUUCAAAAGCCUAGAAGUAUUCAUGUACUAACAGAUUCUAGAUUUAGACAUCAGUGUGAAUUCAUGUUUACUUUAAUAUUGAUAGAUAAACAUACAUUUAUAAAUAGGUGUGUGAGUGCAUUAGUGUUUGCAUGUAUAUUUUCAUCCUCUAUCUGUUGAGAAAGAUAAGGUUCAGUCAUAACCCAUCAAUGCUGAGACUCAACAUCUUAAUUUUUAAGACCACAGUCCAGUAGACAGAGCCAGAGUUCUUGGGAGAAAUAAAAAUUCUAGGACUGAGCAGGAAGCAUAAAGCACAAACUCAGAGCAUCUUAUAGUGCAAAGUAAAACACUAUCAAAUACACACACACACACAAACACACACACACACACAUGAGGGGGAACACAUGCAAGCUGACAAUUUGCAAAAGGGAGGAUAAGUGACCAACUGAAAAUGCCCCUAGUUCCUGGGCACAGUGACACAUACCUCUAAUCUUAGGAUUAGGAAGUAGGAGCAGACAGAUCUCUGUGAGUUUGAGGCCAACCUGACUUACAUAGCAAGUUUCAGGCCAGUUUCAGGCCAGUUUCAGGACUACAUAGUGAGACCUGUCCAAAACUUAAUAUGUAAAUAAUGUCCCUAGUUGCCAAAACUGGAAUAGUCUAAGCAAAUACAAGCCAUGUGGUGGUGAGAUAGCUCAGUGGGUAAGAACACUUGUUGCCAAGCUUGAGGAAGGCAGCGGGAUCUGAACCUAUGUUGUGGAAGGAGAAAAUUGAUUCCUACAAACUGUCCUCUGACCUGCAAAAGUCUCAGUCUCUCUCUCUCUCUCUCUCUCUCUCUCUCUCUCUCUCUCUCUCUCUCUCUCUCUCCCUCUCUUAAGCAAGCAAGAAAUAAAUAAACAAGCUUUUACAGAAGAUUUGUUUUUAAUUUUCAGUGUAUAAGCAUUUUGCCUGUGUGCAAGUCUGUGUAGUACAUGGGUGUCUUGGGUCCAUAGAGGUCAGAAGAGGGUGUCAGAUUCUCUAUAACUGGAGUUACAAACGCUUGUCAGCAGUCAUGGGGAUGCUGGGAAUUCAACUGGGUUUCUGUGGUACAAUAGCUGGUACUCUUAACUACUGAGCCAUCCUUGCAACUGCAAUAGAUAAUUGAAUUUUAAACAAAGAAAAUACAUAAAAAUAACACCUGGGAACAAACAGUAUAAAGACUUGUCAUAUGCCCUGUACCCAAUGUCCCCAACUAGUAAUAUCUGCCGGGUUUGUGUGGCAUAUUUGUUACCAUCCAUGAACCAAUAUCAACACUCGUGUUACACGCAGAUUUUGUCAAGGUUUCUCAGGUGUUUUAACUCAGAUAUCGGAAGUGGUCCAGCAUGCCUUCUGUUCACCAACACAGAGUUGUCACAACUCCCGAGGUGCCUCUGGGAUGUGACAACAGAUUCUCUCAUUUCUUAAGAAUUUUUAUAACCAUAGUAUUUCUUAGAUUCACUUGCUCAGGGCUUAUGAUGAAUGUCCUUCAGCUGAGAUCUCGCUAAUGUUUUUCUUAUAAGUAAAAGGAAUUCUGUGUGUUGGGGAAAGAGGAACACAACAGUCACCUGCUGCCUGAAGCCACAUAAUCCACUGUCACUGUAGACCAUGACUGCCUGACAGAAAGUAUGUGGUGGCCUUUUUCAAUGUAAAGUCAACCCCUGCUUCAUAACAAUUCAUAAACAAGUUAUUAUGGGUUCUCUAAACCUGACUCACUGUUUAUAUGGAGGGGUGUUUACAUAAGAAUUUGCCUUUUUCAAUUUCAAGUACUCUGGUUUUAUUUAAUCUAUAGAUACCCAUUUUUCCUUAAAUAUUUCCCAUUAAAUAUUUCCCAUUUUCAGGAAUAUCUGCAACACUUUGUUGUUUUAACAAAUAAAGAGGUACUUAAUUUCCA